AUGGGAUGCUGCAGCCUGAGAGCCAGGCAUGAUGGCUCUGCAGGAGAAAGCCAGGAUGAGGUGGAGCUGUUGAAGACAGGCAGGACCAGAAAAUGGUCCAUUUCAGACGGCCAGAGUGAGGGAUCCCUCCAACCUAAGGACCCUGCAACUCCCACGCAGACAGAAGGGGUGAGUAUGAGCAGGGUCAGGCAGGCAAAGAUUAACAUGGGGAAGAAACCAGUUCAUCUCAGUUUCUGCUCUACAAAUUCACUUGCAAUAAAGUCCAUCACCACAAUCAGUGCAGGGAUAUUAACUGGGUCCACGCUUUACCCCCAUUGCUGAGAGCAUGCGCUGAGAGAGGGGAAAUGA
rnacentral:lncRNA from 1 species